UACGUAGGUGGCAAGCGUUGUCCGGAUUUACUGGGCGUAAAGAGCGCGCAGGCGGUCGUUCAAGUCGCGUGUGAAAGCCCCCGGCUCAACUGGGGAGGGUCACGCGAUACUGAUCGACUCGAAGGCAGGAGAGGGUAGUGGAAUUCCCGGUGUAGUGGUGAAAUGCGUAGAUAUCGGGAGGAACACCAGUGGCGAAGGCGGCUUCCUGGCCUGUUCUUGACGCUGAGGCGCGAAAGCUAGGGUAGCAAACGGG
rnacentral:rRNA from 1 species